GCUCAGAUUGAACGCUGGCGGCAGGCUUAACACAUGCAAGUCGAGCGGUAGCACAGGGGAGCUUGCUCCCUGGGUGACGAGCGGCGGACGGGUGAGUAAUGUCUGGGAAACUGCCUGAUGGAGGGGGAUAACUACUGGAAACGGUAGCUAAUACCGCAUAACGUCGCAAGACCAAAGAGGGGGACCUUCGGGCCUCUUGCCAUCAGAUGUGCCCAGAUGGGAUUAGCUAGUAGGUGGGGUAAUGGCUCACCUAGGCGACGAUCCCUAGCUGGUCUGAGAGGAUGACCAGCCACACUGGAACUGAGACACGGUCCAGACUCCUACGGGAGGCAGCAGUGGGGAAUAUUGCACAAUGGGCGCAAGCCUGAUGCAGCCAUGCCGCGUGUGUGAAGAAGGCCUUCGGGUUGUAAAGCACUUUCAGCGAGGAGGAAGGUGGUGAGCUUAAUACGCUCAUCAAUGACGUACUCGCAGAAGAAGC
rnacentral:rRNA from 1 species